UUAAAUGUCCAAGUGUUUCAUAUCUAUCAAUGGAAGCUAGAACUGCUACUGAAGAAAAAAAAAAAAAACAACAUUCUCUAUCAAUUUUCGUUAGAGUACUGACAAUGAUUAGUUCGCUACAGAUUAUUUUGAUCCGGAUUGUUCCCUCUCUAGAAGACUUCUAUAGACUUUCUUUCUAUACAGUAUCAAAAAUUGGAUACAUUCAAACUGUGGUUGCACCAUUUACCACCAAAAAAAAAAGAAAAAAUUAGCAAUUCAAUAAACGAAAUGAUUUUUCAAACUCUUCUUCAGGAUGUCGUUUUUUAAUUAUUCGAUAUAAACUUAAUUUUCUUUUAAUUUUGUAGCCGAGUAGGUCAUGCAAAGAGGAAGACAUUGAAAUAUUGAAUUUUAAUAGACUUUCGACCCAUUGAAACACUUCUAGAUGUUAUAUAUAAUGUUUUUUUGUUAGAUUUAACUUCGUGUUUAUGCAUUAUAAAUUGUUUAUGGAGCAUGCAGAAUGUUUCCUGAUUAAUCAUUCCUUCUAGCAGAAAUUAAUUCGCGUAAGAUGAUUUAUACGGCUUUCGAACCCGUUCGAAAAGCUAAACAUGUUUUAGAAUCACCGAAUCGUAAAAUAAUAAUAAUUUGGUAGCACUUUAAAAACCAUUUUUGCAUGGUUAUCAAUUUAAAAUAUGCGUCAGAAAAAUUAUGAUGGUAACUGAUUCACCAGCGGCAUUGUGUGUGUAUUUUUGUAUGGAUUCACUAGGCAUAUCGGUUUUGGCCAGUAUUCAGAAUCAAAAAAGGUCAUCGAUGUGGUCAAAAUUUUGAGGUCGAAAGCACGUUAAAGAUCGAUACGAAAAUUUGCUACUUAAAAUUCCUUUUAACAGAGUUAACAGGUUAGUUUUCCGACGGUUAGCCAGAUUCAAACUGAAUGAUUUUGUUGUUCGAGUAUAGAACGAUGCUCCCAAUUCUGUUCUUGUAGCGGGUCAGAAAAAAAAGGGCCACAUAAAAUUGGACGCGGAAAUAUAAAAAAAAUAAAACCUUUAAAACAAUCGUGUAUCUGUCUUGCAGUAUAUAGAAGAAUGAUUAAUGAAAAUAGACCGUGUUCUUUCACACGUUGUGCUACUCUUCGUGACAUGAGAUCGAGAACAUUUUGCUUUCGGUAACAUCGUAUACAUCACUCGAUGUUUAAAACUUUCAAGAAAAAAUUUUUUUCGAUGUUUACAUAUACGCAAAAUAAAUAUAUUUAUAGAAAAAGAGGUUUUUUUUUUGGAUGUUCGAU
rnacentral:lncRNA from 1 species